GGGUGAGUAACACGUGGAUAACCUACCUAUAAGACUGGGAUAACUUCGGGAAACCGGAGCUAAUACCGGAUAAUAUAUUGAACCGCAUGGUUCAAUAGUGAAAGACGGUUUUGCUGUCACUUAUAGAUGGAUCCGCGCCGCAUUAGCUAGUUGGUAAGGUAACGGCUUACCAAGGCGACGAUGCGUAGCCGACCUGAGAGGGUGAUCGGCCACACUGGAGCUGAGACACGGUCCAG
rnacentral:rRNA from 1 species